rnacentral:lncRNA from 1 species
AGAUCCAUUUAAUUAUUGUAAUAAAUAUAAAUAUAGUAAUACAAUAGGAGCCAUGAAUUGUGUGAUACCUAUUGUCAAUAAUGUGAAGGCUUGACUGUUGACCCUUGACCUUGAAAGUUUGGUAAAAAUUGAAACUCUCAGAAGAAGAAAAAGUCAAAAGUCACAAAAGUCACGGUCUUUGAAUUUAUUUGUAAUUUCGAUCACUGUAACUGAGUUUCGAAAUCUACAAUCCGAUCUGUUAGGGUAGGUGAAGUUGAUUAAACCAUGCAUUAAAUUAGAUAGUGACAUUAGUGUUGAAUUUUGUAAGGGAGAUUAGUAGAAAAUACUCACAAAGUAGGAAUUGAAAUAUGAUAAACCUAUACUUGAAAGUCAGAAUAUGAUCUAUCAUCCUCUAAAUACAUGAAAAUUUUAAGAAAAAUUGAGUCGCACAUGAAUCGAAGUUCCGUAAAUGAAAAUCUCAAACGUUUGCAACAGCAGAGCAUGAAAAUCUAAGCAUUCCGGCAGUGGUAAAACUGAACCUCUAAAUUCAAAUAAAUAUAGUUCAUACUAGAGGUGUCCAUGGGCCGGGCCCAUAAAAAUUCUAAUCCGUUUUUCAAGCCCGGGCCUGGCCCGAAAUAUGGGCAUGAGAUUUUACCCAGGCCCGGCCCGGGAAAAAUAUGGGGCCCGAGCCCGGCCCGGCCCGUUUUGCAUUGAAAUUAAAAUUAUUUUUUUAAUAAAAUUAAAACUAAUUAAAAUCUAGCACAUUUACCACUUAAUUAUUUGAUUGAAUCAUACAUUAACAGAAAGCUAAUUGACAAAUUUCAUAUAAACUUUUAUUAUAGAUUAACAGACAGAAAUGGAAGGGAUUACAUGACUUAACCAACUAUUCCUCAGGAAUUACAUGACUUAACCAACUAUUCCCCAGGAAUUACAUAAAGCACUACAAGAUGAAUCACUCAAGCACACUAUAAUAAUCCAUAAACAUAAUCUUUAAGAGCUAUGCAAAAUCUUAUAGCAUGCUAAUUAUACCUAAAAACAUGUUUACAACAUAAUCAACUUCCAAGACCUAUCCACGAAUCAACAGCAACAUGAUUUUUCAUUUUGCAUUUCAGUAAACAUCAUCAAUCACUUAUUUUUCUUCUCUUUUGCCUUCGAACUUUUACCCAUUUUUUUAGCUUCAAAUUCAUCACCAAAAUAAUAAAUUAAGCAACAAUAAAAAUAAAUUUCAAAUAUAUUGAAAUGAUGCAAUUUGAUAGAAACAAACAGAGCAUUGGCACAUGUUAUCUGCAUAUGUUACCCUAUUUAAAGGAAUAAACUAAACCCAAUUUGCAAUUCAAAAGGCCAAAAAGCUAACCUCUAACGUGAAUUCAAUCUGUAAUUAAUUUCUCAAAACUUGCUUUAUCUAAUUUAACAUUCUUAUAUGUCGAUGUGGUAUAGUUCUAGAAUAGUCAACAUUGGUUAACAUUCAGUAAAAGGAUGCUCCAAAUGAAGUGUGUGUAACUUCAGUAGAAAGAAGUUGAAAGAAAACUGCAAUUAGAAAUGAAGUAAGAAUGUUAAAUUAAGUAAACAAAACACAUCAUGCCUGUAUGUUUUGUAACUAAAAUUAAGCGAAUCAUCUUGAGAGGUAAAAGAGUGGGUAAUCUGCAGAAAGUGGGAACUUAGCAUUAUCUACUCUUGAUUUCAGUCUGCAUUUCAGGUUAUUGCUGUUUUGAUGCAUAAAUUCAUUGAAAGAACAAUUGUUUUUAAUAAAGAGAAUGAAAACGAGGAAACCGAAGAAGAUGAGCAAACCCGUACCUGUAACAAACCGACCGGAGGUGGAUCGGUGAAUGUCUUGACGGUGGAGGUGGAUCGGUAUUGGAAGACUCUGUCGAUUUUGGAAAUGGAAAAAAAAUGGAGGAAGGCACAGCCGUACAGCACAAUAGAUAGGGUUAGGGAUUUUGUCUCUGUCAGUGUAAGGAAAUGAAAGUAAAUGAAAAACUUUUAUAUUUUAAAAAUAAAAAAAUACAUAUUUAAUAUAUUUUUGGGCUGGGCCGGGCCCGGGCCAAAAAAAUUUUGCCCGAGGCCCGGCCCAUUUUUUAAACGGGCCUAAAAUUUUGCCCAAGCCCAUAUUUCGGGCCUAUAUUUUUACCCAAACCCUCCCAUAUUUCGGGCGGGCCGUCGGGCUGGGCCGCCCGGCCCAUGGACAAGUCUAGUUCAUACUAACAGUCAUCACCAUCUGCAAG